rnacentral:rRNA from 1 species
AGCGAACGCUGGCGGCAGGCCUAACACAUGCAAGUCGAACGAAGUCUUCGGACUUAGUGGCGGACGGGUGAGUAACACGUGGGAACGUACCUUUUGGUUCGGAACCACCCAGGGAAACUUGAGCUAAUACCGGAUGAGCCCUUAGGGGGAACGAUUUAUCGCCGAAAGAGCGGCCCGCGUUAGAUUAGCUAGUUGGUGAGGUAAAGGCUCACCAAGGCUACGAUCUAUAGCUGGUCUGAGAGGAUGAUCAGCCACACUGGGACUGAGACACGGCCCAGACUCCUACGGGAGGCAGCAGUGGGGAAUCUUGCGCAAUGGGCGAAAGCCUGACGCAGCCAUGCUGCGUGAAUGAUGAAGGUCUUAGGAUUGUAAAAUUCUUUUACCAGGGACGAUAAUGACGGUACCUGGAGAAAAAGCCCCGGCUAACUUCGUGCCAGCCGCCGCCGUAACAC